rnacentral:sRNA from 7 species
CUGGUAACAAUGGAAACUGGAGUCUUAUGUUUAUCUUCAGGCCAGGACGGAUGGAGGCAGCAAUAGUAUAUGCUUUCCUAAACUGACCUGCUAAUGACCUGAAUGCUGCCCUGGGGGUUAGUAUCUCUCGGAGUAAGAGGAUAUUUAGCUCUGAUGCCAGUUCAGCAUACAACUCAU